CACACUAUCAUUAACUGAAUCCAUAGGUUAAUGAGGCGAACCGGGGGAACUGAAACAUCUAAGUACCCCGAGGAAAAGAAAUCAACCGAGAUUCCCCCAGUAGCGGCGAGCGAACGGGGAGGAGCCCAGAGCCUGAAUCAGUGUGUGUGUUAGUGGAAGCGUCUGGAAAGGCGCGCGAUACAGGGUGACAGCCCCGUACACAAAAAUGCACAUAUUGUGAGCUCGAUGAUUAGGGCGGGACACGUGGUAUCCUGUCUGAAUAUGGGGGGACCAUCCUCCAAGGCUAAAUACUCCUGACUGACCGAUAGUGAACCAGUACCGUGAGGGAAAGGCGAAAAGAACCCCGGCGAGGGGAGUGAAAAAGAACCUGAAACCGUGUACGUACAAGCAGUGGGAGCCUCUUUAUGGGGUGACUGCGUACCUUUUGUAUAAUGGGUCAGCGACUUAUAUUCUGUAGCAAGGUUAACCGAAUAGGGGAGCCGAAGGGAAACCGAGUCUUAACUGGGCGUUAAGUUGCAGGGUAUAGACCCGAAACCCGGUGAUCUAGCCAUGGGCAGGUUGAAGGUUGGGUAACACUAACUGGAGGACCGAACCGACUAAUGUUGAAAAAUUAGCGGAUGACUUGUGGCUGGGGGUGAAAGGCCAAUCAAACCGGGAGAUAGCUGGUUCUCCCCGAAAGCUAUUUAGGUAGCGCCUCGUGAAUUCAUCUCCGGGGGUAGAGCACUGUUUCGGCAAGGGGGUCAUCCCGACUUACCAACCCGAUGCAAACUGCGAAUACCGGAGAAUGUUAUCACGGGAGACACACGGCGGGUGCUAACGUCCGUCGUGAAGAGGGAAACAACCCAGACCGCCAGCUAAGGUCCCAAAGUCAUGGUUAAGUGGGAAACGAUGUGGGAAGGCCCAGACAGCCAGGAUGUUGGCUUAGAAGCAGCCAUCAUUUAAAGAAAGCGUAAUAGCUCACUGGUCGAGUCGGCCUGCGCGGAAGAUGUAACGGGGCUAAACCAUGCACCGAAGCUGCGGCAGCGACACUAUGUGUUGUUGGGUAGGGGAGCGUUCUGUAAGCCUGUGAAGGUGGCCUGUGAGGGUUGCUGGAGGUAUCAGAAGUGCGAAUGCUGACAUAAGUAACGAUAAAGCGGGUGAAAAGCCCGCUCGCCGGAAGACCAAGGGUUCCUGUCCAACGUUAAUCGGGGCAGGGUGAGUCGACCCCUAAGGCGAGGCCGAAAGGCGUAGUCGAUGGGAAACAGGUUAAUAUUCCUGUACUUGGUGUUACUGCGAAGGGGGGACGGAGAAGGCUAUGUUGGCCGGGCGACGGUUGUCCCGGUUUAAGCGUGUAGGCUGGUUUUCCAGGCAAAUCCGGAAAACCAAGGCUGAGGCGUGAUGACGAGGCACUACGGUGCUGAAGCGACAAAUGCCCUGCUUCCAGGAAAAGCCUCUAAGCAUCAGGUAACAUCAAAUCGUACCCCAAACCGACACAGGUGGUCAGGUAGAGAAUACCAAGGCGCUUGAGAGAACUCGGGUGAAGGAACUAGGCAAAAUGGUGCCGUAACUUCGGGAGAAGGCACGCUGAUAUGUAGGUGAAGCGACUUGCUCGUGGAGCUGAAAUCAGUCGAAGAUACCAGCUGGCUGCAACUGUUUAUUAAAAACACAGCACUGUGCAAACACGAAAGUGGACGUAUACGGUGUGACGCCUGCCCGGUGCCGGAAGGUUAAUUGAUGGGGUUAGCGGUAACGCGAAGCUCUUGAUCGAAGCCCCGGUAAACGGCGGCCGUAACUAUAACGGUCCUAAGGUAGCGAAAUUCCUUGUCGGGUAAGUUCCGACCUGCACGAAUGGCGUAAUGAUGGCCAGGCUGUCUCCACCCGAGACUCAGUGAAAUUGAAUUCGCUGUGAAGAUGCAGUGUACCCGCGGCAAGACGGAAAGACCCCGUGAACCUUUACUAUAGCUUGACACUGAACAUUGAGCCUUGAUGUGUAGGAUAGGUGGGAGGCUUUGAAGUGUGGACGCCAGUCUGCAUGGAGCCGACCUUGAAAUACCACCCUUUAAUGUUUGAUGUUCUAACGUUGGCCCGUAAUCCGGGUUGCGGACAGUGUCUGGUGGGUAGUUUGACUGGGGCGGUCUCCUCCUAAAGAGUAACGGAGGAGCACGAAGGUUGGCUAAUCCUGGUCGGACAUCAGGAGGUUAGUGCAAUGGCAUAAGCCAGCUUGACUGCGAGCGUGACGGCGCGAGCAGGUGCGAAAGCAGGUCAUAGUGAUCCGGUGGUUCUGAAUGGAAGGGCCAUCGCUCAACGGAUAAAAGGUACUCCGGGGAUAACAGGCUGAUACCGCCCAAGAGUUCAUAUCGACGGCGGUGUUUGGCACCUCGAUGUCGGCUCAUCACAUCCUGGGGCUGAAGUAGGUCCCAAGGGUAUGGCUGUUCGCCAUUUAAAGUGGUACGCGAGCUGGGUUUAGAACGUCGUGAGACAGUUCGGUCCCUAUCUGCCGUGGGCGCUGGAGAACUGAGGGGGGCUGCUCCUAGUACGAGAGGACCGGAGUGGACGCAUCACUGGUGUUCGGGUUGUCAUGCCAAUGGCACUGCCCGGUAGCUAAAUGCGGAAGAGAUAAGUGCUGAAAGCAUCUAAGCACGAAACUUGCCCCGAGAUGAGUUCUCCCUGAGACUUAGAGUCUCCUGAAGGAACGUUGAAGACGACGACGUUGAUAGGCCGGGUGUGUAAGCGCAGCGAUGCGUUGAGCUAACCGGUACUAAUGAACCGUGAGGCUUAACCUU
rnacentral:rRNA from 1 species